AUAUCAGCUAGUUGGUAGGGUAACGGCCUACCAAGGCUACGACGUUUAGGGGAGCUGAGAGGCUGACCCCCACCGAUGGGACUGAGAGACGGCCCAUACUCCUACGGGAGGCCGCAGUCGAGAAUCUUCCGCAAUGGGCGAAAGCCUGACGGAGCGAUACAGCGUGAUGGACGAAGUGCUUCGGUACGUAAACAUCUUUUAUGGGGGAUGAAAUCAUUGACCGUACCCCAUGAAUAAGGGGCUCCUAACUCUGUGCCAGCAGGAACGGUAAUACAGAGGCCCCGAGCAUUAUCCGGAAUUACUGGGCGUAAAGGGUGUCAUAGGCGGUCAUGUUAGUCGUUCGUAAAAUCCGUGGGCUCAACCUACGGCUCGCGAGCGAAACGGCAUGACUUGAGGUUGGGAGAGGUACAUGGAACUCAUGGUGUAGGGGUGAAAUCCGUUGAUAUCAUGGGGAACACCAAAGGCGAAGGCAGUGUACUGGCCCAAAUCUGACGCUCACACACGAAAGCCAGGGUAGCGAACGGGAUUAGAUACCCCGGUAGUCCUGGCCCUAAACGUUGCUCGCUCGCUCUAGGGAGUAUCGACCCUCUCUGGGGCUAAGCUAACGCGGUAAGCGAGCCGCCUGGGUAGUACGAUCGCAAGAUUAAAACUCAAAGGAAUAGACGGGGACUCGCACAAGUAGUGGAUUAUGUGGCUUAAUUCGUCGACAAACGAAGAACCUUACCAAGGUUAGAAAUGCUACUGCAUCCGACCCGAAAGGAACGGAGCCUUCGAGGGUGUAGCACAGGUGAUGCAUGGUCGUCGUCAGUUCGUGGUUUGAACUGUUCCCUUCAGUGGGGUAACGAACGCAACCCCCGUUGUCUGUUAAAUGUUCCAGGCGAGACUGCCCUCUCACGAGGGAGGAAGGUGGGGAUGACGCCAGAUCAGCAUGUCCCUCUGAUACCUUGGGCUGCACACAUAAUACAAUGGCCGGUACAAAAGGAUGCAAGACCGCAAGGUGGAGCAAAUCCCAAAAACCGGCCUCAGUACGGAUAGAGGUCUGCAACCGACCUCUUGAAGCUGGAAUUACUAGUAAUCCUGGGUCAGAAUCCCGC
rnacentral:rRNA from 1 species